rnacentral:ncRNA from 2 species
UAACUAUAAUAAUGCUAAGGUGCCUUUAAAAAGGCUUAAUAGGGAAGUUUGGUGAGAAACCAACGCAGCCCCCGCUACUGUAAGCGAAGACGAAUCUUGCAGCCCACUGGCCUUGCCGGGAAGGGAAGAUUAGGAUGACGCGCGAGCCAGGAGACCUGCCUUGCAUUGAUGCUGUGC